AGCGAACGCUGGCGGCAGGCCUAACACAUGCAAGUCGAACGAACUCUUCGGAGUUAGUGGCGGACGGGUGAGUAACACGUGGGAACGUGCCUUUAGGUUCGGAAUAACUCAGGGAAACUUGUGCUAAUACCGAAUGUGCCCUUCGGGGGAAAGAUUUAUCGCCUUUAGAGCGGCCCGCGUCUGAUUAGCUAGUUGGUUGAGGUAAUGGCUCACCAAGGCGACGAUCAGUAGCUGUCUGAGAGGAUAGCCAGCCACAUUGGGACUGAGACACGGCCCAAACUCCUACGGGAGGCAGCAGUGGGGAAUCUUGCGCAAUGGGCGAAAGCCUGACGCAGCCAUGCCGCGUGAAUGAUGAAGGUCUUAGGAUUGUAAAAUUCUUUCACCGGGGACGAUAAUGACGGUACCCGGAGAAGAAGCCCCGGCUAACUCCGUGCCAGCAGCCGCUGUAACAC
rnacentral:rRNA from 1 species